GACGGAGGGUGCUAGCGUUGUUCGGAAUGACUGGGCGUAAAGGGCGCGUAGGCGGCCGCUUGCGUCGGAUGUGAAAGCCCGGGGCUCAACCCCGGAACGGCAUCCGAUACGGGGCGGCUCGAGACCGAGAGAGGUGAGUGGAAUACCCAGUGUAGAGGUGAAAUGCGUAGAUAUUGGGAGGAACACCGGUGGCGAAGGCGGCCCCCUGGACCGGUACUGACGCUGAGGCGCGAAAGCGUGGGUAGCAAACGGG
rnacentral:rRNA from 1 species